rnacentral:lncRNA from 1 species
UGGAAACAAAGAAGGUUCUCACCAAGGGGCCAAGGCGUAAUGGUCUCUAUGUGCUGGAGAACCAGAACUACAAAGCAUUCUACUCAACUAGACAACCUUUUGUCUUUCCAAGCUCUAUAAAACAGAGCUUCACGUUGUCUGUAAAGUGUGUGCGUAAAUAAUAAUAACACAAGUUCUUAACAAUCACUUUUUCUUUAUAACUCGCUCAUGGUAUCAGAGCUCCUAACACCUUAACAGGUAUAAUGGAGCCUAGCCUCGAUCCUUAUCCGCUUCCUAGCCAAGUUCAUGUCGCAAGUGCAGUAACAAUCAAGCUCACCGACCGAAAUUACUUGCUGUGGAAACUGCAACUCGAAUCUCUCCUCACCAGUCAAAAGCUUCUUGGGUUUGUGGAUGGACGAGAAAAACAACCACCUGCAACCAUCUCUGUUAUUGCGGGAACUACAUCCACGGAAGUACCCAAUCCCCGCUACGAAGCUUGGCUCUGCUCAGAUCAUCUGGUUCGUUCUUGGCUGUUCGGCACACUCUCUGAAGAAGUACUUGGGUAUGUUGUGGGUCUCUCUACGUCUCAAGAGAUCUGGAGGACACUAGCAGAAAACUUCAAUCGUAGCUCUCUUGCUCGUGUGUUUGAACUCCGUCGUAACUUACAACUGGUUUCAAAAAGGGGAAAGACAUUUACAGAAUAUUGUCGUGAGUUCAGAACUAUUUGUGACCAGCUCAGCUCUAUUGGUCACCCUGUUGAAGAAUCUAUGAAAAUCUUCAACUUUUUGAAUGGUCUUGGCCGAGAAUAUGAUCCUGUCUGUGCAGUAGUACAACACUCUUUGUCUCGUACACCGGCACCUACCUUUAAUGAUGUGGUCUCAGAGGUAGCUGGUUAUGAUAGUCGCCUGACUUCGUAUGAUGAUUCAUCUGCAGUUUCACCCCACAUGGCCUUUCAAACUCAAAAGUCUGAAGCUGACCCUCCAUCAAACUACACUACAACGAGCCAUAACCACAGAGGAAGAGGAUCUUACUCAAACAGAUUUGGCUCAAACAGAGGUCGUGGUGGUUACUCCUCGCGUGGGAGAGGCUUUCACCAACAAUCAGUUUCUACUGGACAAAACAAUCACACGACUUCUGCUACUCAGAGGCCCAUAUGUCAAAUAUGUGGGAGAAUGGGACAUACAGCUCUUCGCUGUUGGAAUCGCUUUGACACCAAUUAUCAAAACGACAACUUACCUCAGGCCUUAGCAGCUCUCCAAGUCUCUGAAACUUCAGGACAGGAAUGGUAUCCUGAUUCAGGAGCCACUGCACAUGUCACAUCAACUACAGCUGGUCUGAAUUCUUUAACCCCUUACAACGGGUCAGAAACAAUAAUGGCAGCAGAUGGUAACUGUCUUCCUAUCACACAUGUUGGGUCCGCAAACCUCUCUGUUUCCUCAGGUAGUCUACCUUUGCAUGACAUUCUGGUUUGCCCAUCUGUCCAAAAACCCUUAUUAUCUGUCUCUAAGUUAUGUGAAGAUUACCCAUGUGGCGUGUUCUUUGAUUCUCAUAAGGUAUACAUCUUGGAUCUGGAAACAAAGAAGGUUCUCACCAAGGGGCCAAGGCGUAAUGGUCUCUAUGUGCUGGAGAACCAGAACUACAAAGCAUUCUACUCAACUAGACAACAAGCCACUGAUCUUCUCAUCUGGCAUCAUCGUCUAGGACAUGCUAGUACUCAGGUUCUUCAGCACCUUCACAACAGCAAGGCUAUUUCAAUAAAUAAGAGCAGAAGAAAUUCCCUUUGUGAACCUUGCCAAAUGGGAAAAAGCUUUAGUUUACCUUUUUCAGUUUCUGGUUCAUUCACUUUAGAACCACUUGCUCGAAUUCACUGCGAUCUUUGGGGUCCAGCACCUGUUACUUCUGUACAAAGUUUCAAGUUUUAUGUGGUUUUUGUGGAUGACUAUUCCAGAUACAGCUGGUUCUAUCCUUUAAAGUUUAAAUCAGAUUUCUUUGGUGUGUUUAAACAAUUUCAGAGUUUAGUCGAGAAUCAAUUCAAUAAGAAAAUAAAAGUGUUCCAAAGUGAUGGUGGAGGAGAAUUCACGAGCAAUCAGUUCAAAACUCACUUGGUCGAAUGUGGCAUUAAACAACAGAUUUCUUG